GGACUGCUCGGGGUGAGGCUGGGCAUCGGUCAGCGGCUGCUUCUUCCUACACAGAUGGGUUGGACUGUGCCACUGUGUAACAAAAUUCUAAAUGUCUUACUAUGCCAAAUACUUGCUAAGAUAACAUUUUGAGCAUUCCCACAAAGACAAAGACUGAACAAAAUGAACUUGGACAGUGGUCAUACUUCUGGAAAGCUGCCUACCAGCCUACCGAAUGCUGGAAAUAUGAGAAGUGAAUCGUUAAAAAUGCAGAUUUUCUCCACUUAAGUUCUGAAAAUGGAAGGAAGGAAUAGAGUUUAUCUACUAAAACAUGACCUUCUUCAGUGGAGACAACUUCUGUAGCACUUUAUGUAACAACAGAAAUGAACGUGUUUUUUUUUUUUUUGUACAUGUGAAAGGUAACCCAGAAAGAACAACACAAAAUAAUAAAAUGACACUGAGGUCCUAGA